rnacentral:rRNA from 1 species
AGAGUUUGAUCAUGGCUCAGGAUGAACGCGAGUCGGCSUGCCUAACACAUGCAAGUCGUAUGGGGCUUMGGCCCCAUGGCGUACGGGUGAGUAACACGUGGGCACCUGCCCCCAGAUACGGGUAUAAUGGAGGGAAACCUUCGGUAAUCCCCUAUAGGCGCAGGAAGUGCUUUGGAAAGUUCUAGCUGCUAGCUAGAGUGUCUGGGGAUGGGCCUGCGGCUGAUUAGCUAGUUGGUGCGGGUAAUGGCCUACCAAGGCGAGGAUCAGUAGCUGGCCUGAGAGGGCGGCCGGCCACAUUGGGACUGAGACACGGCCCAGACUCCUACGGGAGGCAGCAGUGGGGAAUCUUCUGCAAUGGGCGCAAGCCUGACAGUGCGACGCCGCGUGAAGGAAGAAGGCCACUUUCGGUCGUAAACUUCUUUGCACGGGCACAGGAAGACUGACCGCCCGGGAAGCAAGUAUCGGCUAACUCCGUGCCAGCAGCCGCGGUAAGACGGGGGAUGCAAGCGUUAUCCGGAUUUAUUGGGCGUAAAGCGUCUGUAGGUGGUUUGGUGUGUCUGCUGUCCAAACGCAGGGCUUAACUCUGUGGGGCAUGUGGAGACUAUCAGACUGGAGGCCGGUAGAGGUGGGGGGAAUCCCUCGAGGAGCAGUGAAAUGCUUAGAUACGUGGGAGAAGGCCGGAGGCGAAAGCUCCCCACUGGGCCGCGCCUGACACUGAGAGACGAAAGCUAGGGGAGCGAAUGGGAUUAGAGACCCCAGUAGUCCUAGCCGUAAACGAUGGGCACUCGAUGCUGCGCGUGGGACGCGCAGUAUCCCAGCUAACGCGAUAAGUGCCCCGCCUGAGGAGUACGCUUGCAAGGGUGAAACUCAAAGGAAUUGACGGGGGCUCGCACAAGCGGUGGAGCAUGUGGUUUAAUUCGAUGCAACGCGAAGAACCUUACCUGGGCUUGACAUGGUGCCUGCGCGCUCCUAACGGGGUUCCGCACUACGGGCACACACAGGUGGUGCACGGCUGUCGUC